AUUGAACGCUGGCGGCAUGCUUUACACAUGCAAGUCGAGCGGCAGCGCGGGGGCAACCCUGGCGGCGAGCGGCGAACGGGUGAGGAAUGCAUCGGAACGUGUCCCGUAAUGGGGGAUAGCUCGGCGAAAGCCGGAUUAAUACCGCAUACGCUCUGAGGAGGAAAGCCGGGGAUCCGCAAGGACCUGGCGUUAGGGGAGCGGCCGAUGUCCGAUUAGCUAGUUGGUGGGGUAAAGGCUUACCAAGGCGACGAUCGGUAGCUGGUCUGAGAGGAUGAUCAGCCACACUGGGACUGAGACACGGCCCAGACUCCUACGGGAGGCAGCAGUGGGGAAUUUUGGACAAUGGGGGCAACCCUGAUCCAGCCAUGCCGCGUGAGUGAUGAAGGCCUUAGGGUUGUAAAGCUCUUUCAGCGGGGAAGAUAAUGACGGUACCCGCAGAAGAAGCCCCGGCUAACUUCGUGC
rnacentral:rRNA from 1 species